GUCUUCCCCGGAUAAACUGGAAACAGUAACACGCAACAGGUGUUUCCGGUGAGCGGGUUUGGUCAUGUCUGCCAGAAAGCCUCGCUCGGUGGCGAACCCUUUGGAGUCUGCCAUCACUUCACCGAGUGAGAGGAUACUAAAAGAAUGUCACAGUUUGUAUGUCGACAGCGAAAACGGCCUGGUAAAGAUUGCCAGCAGCCUAGGAGUACGCCUUCUUCCUCCCAGAAAGAAGAUUAUUGUGAUGAUCAUGGGGAACCAUUCUGCAGGAAAAAGCUCCUUCAUCAACUGGUAUGUUGAGGAGCAUAUCCAAAAAACUGGUGUUGCCAUUGAAACGCAGGGCUUCACAUUCAUCACAAGUGGGCGUAAAAGAGAAUCAUUGACGGGGAAUGCAACACUACAUCUCUACCCCCAUUUUAGACCACUCCUUGAGUUCAAAGGUGUUAUGGACUAUCUAUCUGCUGAGAUAUCCACCUCCAAGCAGAAGAAGUUCAGCCUUGUGACCUUCGUGGACACACCGGGCUUAGUGGAUGGGGACAUGAUCUACCCUUUUAAUGUUAACAGCGCCAUCACAUGGUUCGGAGAGCAGUCAGACCUGAUAUUUGUGUUCUUUGACCCAAUGGGUCAGGCGCUGUGCAAGCGCACGCUGAACAUUGUGGAGAAGCUGAGUGAGAAGUGUGGGGACAAGCUGUUGUUCUACCUCAGCAAAGCUGACGAAGCUGGAAAGGAAACCGAUCGACAAAGAGUGAUGAUGCAGAUUGUCCAGGAAUUGUGCCGCCGCCCAGGUCUCAACAAAUGUGGUUUUGAAAUGCCAACAAUAUAUAUCCCUAACCCGCAGAAGCCAAGCCGCUGUGUGAACCAAAUUGACGGAGUUUGUCAGACCAUCGAAAAGACCAUCAACCAGGCUGUGCAGAGAACUUUGGACCAGUUAGAAAAAGACUGUGAUCUAAUUUGCUUUACCAUCAGCAGCAGACUACAACAGGACAGGACUGAUGCCUCAUACAACAAAAGCGUUCGACUGCACUCGUUCGUGUGUGGUGCUAUGGGAGUUGUCCUUCCUCUGCUCUUCGUUCUCAGUUUCCUUCUGAGCACCUUCCCGAAGGAGCAGCUGAGUGAUCUGAUGGGAGAGGGGCUGGCACACACCCUCUCUGUCUGUACAGGAAUUGUGAUGUACUUAUGGGAGUGGAUUCCAGAAGAUGGGCAAGUUGUCUUUGUGAUCCUUUUUGGAGCCUUUUGUUACCUCCUACUUUUCCUCUCUAAAUACUUCUCUGGUGAAUGCCAUGAUGUUCCACUUCUAGUCAAGGAAACAAGACUCUAACAAAGAAGGAGAAGAGAGUGAUGACAGAGUACAGUGAUUAUAUCCAGGAUAUCGUCAAAGCCAAAAAGGGUAAAUUGUAUGAGUGGUACCUCCAGCAAUGUGCUGCAGAAUAUGACCUUUGACCCCGGGUAAGCGUCACGCAUGUAUGUUAACAACGCUGGAAAAAGUGGCUGUGUAGUGUUUGGUGAAACACUGGGAAGUUUAUACUUAUACUGACAAUCAUCUACCAAAUAUUGCGGCCAAAGGCACUAUUACCAGUUUUACUAAUUAGAAAGUGCCUUUGAUUUUCAAUAUUCUCAAGAGACUGAUUAUGGAUUUUAUAAUGUGAAUUUGUUGUUAAAAUAUUUUGUAGGCCGCUUUACU